UUCGAAGGGGGCUGGCGUUGCUCGGAAUGACUGGGCGUAAAGGGCGCGUAGGCGGUUCGUACAGUCAGACGUGAAAUUCCCGGGCUCAACCUGGGGACUGCGUUUGAUACGUACGGGCUUGAGUUCGGAAGAGGGUCGUGGAAUUCCCAGUGUAGAGGUGAAAUUCGUAGAUAUUGGGAAGAACACCGGUGGCGAAGGCGGCGACCUGGUCCGAUACUGACGCUGAGGCGCGAAAGCGUGGGGAGCAAACAGG
rnacentral:rRNA from 1 species